GUACAAGAAAUGUUGCUUUUUAAGUAUACUUUGCAUAUAUAACAUUUUGAUGGUGAUGACGAGGAUGAUGAUGAUCAUAAGGUUUAAGAGGGAAAAAAAGAACCAUAAAUGACAAGAUUACUUUCUAAUUGGACAAUUGGUAUAGAAAAAUAAAACUACGUGUCGUCCAACAUUAAAUUACUAAGCUCCGUUGUAGAAUGAUGAUAGUUGAUGAUGAUGACGAUGAUAAUGAUGAUGAUGACGAUGGUGCGUGUGGACAAAGGAGAGGGUUCGUUAACGAAGCUCUUACACGUUCACACUUACUGCUGCUUGCUUGAUUGCUUGCUUACUUGCUUGCUUGCUAGUUUGCUUGCUUGCACGAGACGACGUAGUUCAAAGGAAUCAAACGCUUACUAACACCAGCAACCAAAUGUGU